rnacentral:rRNA from 1 species
CCUACGGGAGACAGCAGUGGGGAAUAUUGCACAAUGGGGGCAACCCUGAUGCAGCGACGCCGCGUGAGUGAAGAAGUAUUUCGGUACGUAAAGCUCUAUCAGCAGGGAAGAAAAAAAGUCCUUUGGACUUUGGACGGUACCUGACUAAGCAGCCCCGGCUAACUACGUGCCAGCAGCCGCGGUAAUACGGAGGGGGCAAGCGUUAUCCGGAUUUACUGGGUGUAAAGGGAGCGUAGACGGCAGCGCAAGUCUGGAGUGAAAUGCCGGGGCCCAACCCCGGAACUGCUUUGGAAACUGUGCAGCUGGAGUGCAGGAGAGGUAAGCGGAAUUCCUAGUGUAGCGGUGAAAUGCGUAGAUAUUAGGAGGAACACCAGUGGCGAAGGCGGCUUACUGGACUGUAACUGACGUUGAGGCUCGAAAGCGUGGGGAGCAAACAGGAUUAGAUACCCCGGUAGUC